CAAUACCUUUCAUUUGGGCCAACAUCUUCUUCCAUGCUCGGCUGCUGCCUCCGCUUCGUUAUCCUCUGCCGCCACUUUUGCUUGGCUGCCUCAGCUCCGAUUCCUCCACCAUCGCUUUUGCUUCUGCUCCGCAGAUCACAGCAAGUGGCUGCUUCUCUCAAGCUAGCCUCCACCGCACCGGAGAUCCGGGACCCGAUGGGCAGGGCAUCGUGGCGGAGGCUCGGGCGAGCACAGCAAUGAGGAGGCCGGUGAGUGCGGCAGCGAAAGCUCAGGCUAGCCUAGCGACGAGCAAGGAGACGAGGAGGCCGUAGUGACCGCGGCGGAGGCUCGGUGAGCAUAGCGACGAGGAGGCCAGUGAGCACGACGGCGGAGGCUCGGACGAGCUCGGCGAUGAGGAGGCCAGCGAGCGCGGUAGCGUAGGCUCAAGCUAGCCCAGCAACGAGCAAGCAGACGAGGAGGCCGGCGAGUGCGGCGGCGGAGGCUCGGACGAGGGAAGCGACGAGGAGGCCAGGGAGCGUGGCGGCGGAGGGCUCGGGCUAGACGAGCAAGGAGACUGUUAGGAACUCGCCUGAAGAACGACGAUGACCACAUCGCCGGCAAGCUCCUUUUGCCAACACACAAACUCACGUGAAAAACAGAGGACACGAUCUUGUUUGUGCUGUCAACUUGGCAGCUUUUCUUGACUUUAUUGAUUUGCUUAAAUUGACAAUUACAAGGAAAGAAUAAACAUUGCCGACACGCACACGAUCACAACAUUACCAUGCCUAAAAUAACCACUAACCAUCUAUAGCAAAAAGAAACUAAUCUAGC
rnacentral:lncRNA from 1 species